AACGAACGCUGGCGGCAGGCUUAACACAUGCAAGUCGAACGCCCCGCAAGGGGAGUGGCAGACGGGUGAGUAACGCGUGGGAAUCUACCUAGAACUACGGAACAACUGAGGGAAACUUCAGCUAAUACCGUAUACGCCCUACGGGGGAAAGAUUUAUCGGUUCUAGAUGAGCCCGCGUAAGAUUAGCUAGUUGGUGGGGUAAUGGCCUACCAAGGCGACGAUCUUUAGCUGGUCUGAGAGGAUGAUCAGCCACACUGGGACUGAGACACGGCCCAGACUCCUACGGGAGGCAGCAGUGGGGAAUAUUGGACAAUGGGCGCAAGCCUGAUCCAGCCAUGCCGCGUGAGUGAUGAAGGCCUUAGGGUUGUAAAGCUCUUUCAGUGGGGAAGAUAAUGACGGUACCCACAGAAGAAGCCCCGGCUAACUUCGUGCCAGCCGCCGCAGUAAUAC
rnacentral:rRNA from 1 species